rnacentral:tRNA from 1 species
GCUUUGGCGCAGUAGGUAGGGCGUAGGUCUCAUAAUCCUAAGGUCGCGAGUUCGAUCCUCGCAGGCCGCA